UACGUAGGGUGCAAGCGUUGUCCGGAAUUAUUGGGCGUAAAGAGCUCGUAGGCGGUUCGUCGCGUCGGCUGUGAAAUCCCGAGGCUCAACCUCGGGUCUGCAGUCGAUACGGGCGGACUGGAGUUCGGCAGGGGAGACUGGAAUUCCUGGUGUAGCGGUGGAAUGCGCAGAUAUCAGGAGGAACACCAAUAGCGAAGGCAGCUCGCUGGGACGGUAUUGACGCUAAGGCGCGAAAGCGUGGGGAGCAAACAGG
rnacentral:rRNA from 1 species